rnacentral:ribozyme from 13 species
GAAUUUCUCUUUCUCUUCCCCUUUCUUUUAACCCUUUUUUCUUUCUCUCUUUCUUUCUCCUACUCUUCUUUUCUUUUAAAGGAUGAAGGAAGAGUGCCUUCAUCCAACAUUUGCAUAACCCA